rnacentral:rRNA from 1 species
UACGGGGGGGGCAAGCGUUGUUCGGAAUUACUGGGCGUAAAGGGCUCGUAGGUGGCCAACUAAGUCAGACGUGAAAUCCCUCGGCUUAACCGGGGAACUGCGUCUGAUACUGGAUGGCUUGGGUUCGGGAGAGGGAUGCGGAAUUCCAGGUGUAGCGGUGAAAUGCGUAGAUAUCUGGAGGAACACCGGUGGCGAAGGCGGCAUCCUGGACCGACACUGACGCUGAGGAGCGAAAGCCAGGGGAGCAAACGGG